CCGCCCCCCUCCCGUUCCAGCACUAUCGGUCCGAAGUGUUUGGGACUGCAGUGCCCGGGUAGGGGUAGUCAGAGGCCGCCCCUCCACUCCGAGGCCCAGAUGUCGGGGGGGAGGUCCCAGGAGUGACGGGGUGCGCCCCCCCCAAGGAAACUCACCUUCCAAAGCUGCGGCCAACGAAGCCCAGCAGAGCAGCACCCGGAGCUCCAUGGCGCCGCCUCACUCGGGACCCUGCUGCAGGAAGACUAUGGGUUCUUCCGC
rnacentral:sRNA from 1 species